rnacentral:lncRNA from 15 species
AUGAGGAGGCUUUACUGUUUUGCACUUGGAUUUUUCCUGCUUGCAGUCAGGGCAGAAAAAGAAGAUUUCCAGGGUUUCUACGAAGAACAAACAAGAAGCACAACUGUCACAAAAGAUCUGCUUUUGAAAAAGGAAAACACAACUGGUCAUGGCACAGAAGCAUUAUCUACAGAGAAUACACUUAAACACACUACAGCGGCAGUGGCUGCAAGGGUGGUGUUUUUUGACACCAGACCAACGGCACCUUAUGAGACAACACCAAUCACAAAAGCAUUGGCUAUAAUUGCCUCACAGAGCAGAAAGCAUUUUGUUUCCAAAAAUGGGCAAAGCUCUCUCACAUCAACGAGUGACAAUCCAUCUGCUUUGAGGAUUCACACUGAAACAGAAAUCCCGGUGAUCUCCAAUUAUGAGAAGAUGGUUUUCUCUUCCACGCAAGCUGCAUUUGAAUCAGUGAUGAAUGGCACCUCUGAGCCAGAGGUCCAUUCGUCCACAGAUGCAGUAAAAGCCUCUCUUUGGCUUCACACUCAGCUGGAUAACAGGAAUCAGAGAAACACUGACUCUAUUACUCUCACAUCUGCUGACGGAGGGCCGGGAGUUCCAAUCCUAUCUGCAUCUCAUCCUCGUGUAAUUGAUAACCUGGCUGCACCGCCUAAUGACAAUGAUGACAAACGAUCUCAAGGCAAGGAUGAAAAGGGGAUUUCAAACUUGGGAAGAAAUGAGUAUCUGUUCAGUGCGACGCAAUCCAUCUUCCAAAGGGAUAGAGCAGGAGAUUCAGUGAGAGGAAACACUGUGACAAACUUGUGUUUGACAUGCCUGAAAGAUCGAAGACCGGUGUCCACUGAGAAAUCUGUGGCUCUGCCUGUACUGUCACCUGAUGGCUCUUCAGACUCUCUUAGUACAGAGGAGAUCGCUAUAGAUUUCAGUCAAUUUGCUACUUCCUUACCCAGUUUAUAUGAACAGUCAAUAGGAGAACAAGAAGAAAUACUGAACCAAGAGAUCAGUCACCAAAACAUUAGCGAGCAUUCUGGUUUCGGCAUGAGGGAACAACAAGUUUACAAUCUGACAUUUUCUCCUUCAUUCUUCAAUAAAUCUGUGAAUCAUAGUCAAAGCAUUUUGAAUAAUUCCCAAAUCAAAUCUUUUCUGUUGCAUACAGGAACAGUUGCAUUUGACACAUGGCCUCUUGCUGAGAUGUCAUCAGCAACACAAAAAGAUGCCAAGAAACAAGCGAGGCACACCUCUCCUAGUGAAACUUUAGUCACAGAGAGACUGAUUUCAAACACCACGGCACUUUAUCACUCUUUAAAGUCACUUCGCACUGUAAGGAAACCAAUAAAAAAUGGAGAACAAGAGAUCUUUGAGAAAAGGGUGAACAUCGGGGACCCCCAGUCAAAACUAAUAUAUCUCAGUAAGAAUACCAAAAAUGCUUCCCACAGUCUCUCAACAAACUUCAAGAAUGUAUUUAUCCAUACCCAACCCUCGGACGUCAGCAGUGGGUCAGUAAGCAGUACAUCUGUCAUCGCUGAAGCUCCCAACAGCAGUCAGAAAAGUGUUCUUCCAGAAGGUAGUGAUCACAGUAAUGCAUCACAUCCAACUGUUAGAACAAGGUUGAUUGAAGCUCAUAGCGCAAUAACAUCCUUCAACCUUAGUAGGCCAACAGUCAAACAUCCUGACUCUCACUCUCUGACAGAGAAAGCUCAUUCUUUGAUCUCUGUAUUGAGGAUCCAAACGCCAGCUAAACCAAGCUCUCAGACCAAAGAACCCAUAUUGACUUUGUUACUAACGGAUUCUGCCAUCAAGUUUGCAUCUGUAACCACAAAGAGACACCUGACAGAUACGCAGGAUUCUCACAUAUUUAACACUGUAAACAGCAUUGUUAAACAGACUUUUGUUGAUCCUUCAGGGCCAGAGAAUAAAAAACCAAAAACUCCAACCUCUACAACAGAAGAAGUUGUUGUGCCUCUGAAGUUGUUUCUUUCAGAAUCAAGACAGGACUUUGAUGAUGAUGCGUCCAAGUUUACUCUAACAACACCAUCAAGCCAGUCAUUCUCCAAGAGACUGACAAUAGGCAGACUUUUUGGAGGUCAAUCUAAAAUCACUCAGGAGAGGGGUUUUGAUGUUAGCAAUCAGUCUGUGGAAUCGACACACCAAUCUUUUGUAAAAUAUAACAGGGAUUUAAUCAGAGAGUCACUAAUAGUACACAAUCUGAAGCCAGGAGAUAAAAAUGAGCAGGUGUUGACUGUAGUUGCAGAAGAUGAGGACAAAGAGAUUAUGAAGAUAGAGGGCAAGCAGGGUGAAGAAAUUAAAGAGUCAAAAGAGAUACUAAAGUUGCAGGAAGAAGAGGAUGACAGGGAAGAUGAAAAGUUUGGGAACAAAAAAGAAGAAUUAUUUAGAUCAGAUAAAAUCGAAAGCAGGAAACAAGAAAAUAUAAUUCAUUGUGGAAAAAAGAUAAAUCAAAAUAAGGAAGAGGAUAAAAUGGAAGAGCAUGAGGCCAAGACAAGUAGAAGGGAAGGUGGAAGGCUAACUGGUGAGGAGGAUGUAACUUUGAGACAAAACAAAGAUCUGAGGGAAGGGGAAGGAUGGGACGAAGAAGGUGUAGGUGAAAAGCAGAGAAUGUCUUUGACAAAAGAAGGAGCAGAGGCUAGAAGAGAGCAAACAGCAAGCAGAGAAGACCUUAAACAUAACAGGGAAAUUGGGACAGAGGACAUGACAAAUGUUCCCCUUGGGCCAACUACUAAUUCUAAAGAACUUAACAGAGACAAAGGGCAUACUGUUACAAACCUGUCUUCCUGCCACAGUUUGAUUAAACAGUUGGGAGCCACUGAGCGCAAGGGCGUUUACCUGGGUGAAAAUAUAGCACAAAUUGCGGAAAUGAAAAAUAAGCCAUUUUCCUACAAAGUGACAACCAAUCACAGACCGCUACACUCAACUCUGAUAUCUCAGAACCCGAAACUACCAAGAAUGACAUAUUUUCCCAAAGAGACACACACACAGAUUCAACCUCAUCAGUCAACCCAUGGGGCUAUGCGUACAAAGCAUGGAGGUACGUCUUCACUUACUAAAGAAAGUACCCAGAACAAAGUUGUUGAAACUACAUUUUCUGUGACUGCCACACAAAAAAUUGACCCAAAACUCUAUCAAACAUUCGGAGUUAGCACUUCAAAAUUUAGUGAUGCAUUCAAGCCGACAAUAUCCCCGCGCAGCACUGCGACUAAAUCAGCACACCCUGUACUAAACAGUAUCAGUAACAUGUUGUCACUUACCACCCCACAAUUGGCAAUCACAGCUGGGUUCCUGCGAGCUCAGUCCCACUUUACAGUAAACAGUUCUACUCUCAGUGCAUCAAUUAUUUACAGCACCUCAGAUCAUAGGCAUAAAUUCAGUACUUCAGUUUCGAAGGCAAAUUCAUUUUCACUCACUACGAAUGAGAGAGAGAAAGCAGAACACAUUAUACCAGCACAUAUAUUUGAAUACAAUGUCAAGGACCCUUUAACCUCUAACAAGAUUGAAGAGGUGAAUAUAUCUACUUCAGUGAAUCCUGCUCUGCCACUGCAGAUGUAUAAUGACUCAUCUACCAGGCCACCCACAACAGCAGCCUUGUCAUUUGAGGCCAACAUCUCAAUUGGCCAGUUGCAGCCUCACCAAGGGAAAUCUGCCCCUCAGAUAAGCCAGUCCUCCUCCUCAUCCUUUGACAUGACUUCAGGCCAGCCAUGCUCAUUUAAACUGUCAGAGCAGACAGCCCAUUCAGAUGCUUUGCAUGUUCCUGUUGACGAUAACGAGCAGAGAUCUGUACAGACCCUAAUGGCAUCAAUGAGCCCUAAAGCAAAAAGCGAUCAAUUUCCUCUCAGCAGCAUGUCACCACAGCUAAAUCUCGUGCCGUUUGGAGGUGACAGUUUACCUGGCAUCUACAGCCUGACAGGGCUAACAAGAUCAGCCUCAGAAAAAGAAAUACUGGGGGCCAACUCUGGCACUGAAUAUGCAAAUAGUGGAAGAGGCCAUGCUGAGUCCUCGUUAGGGACUGCUGAUGAGACAAAUCAAACUGAGGAGAAUGACAGUCUGCAAAAUAUAGUGACCUUGGCAGUAAAAGAUUCAGAUGCAGUGACAAAGCAAAUGGCAGAGAACAGAGAUGAAGAGAGCAGUUCUUCUCCCAUAGCACAAGCAACUGGCAAGAGUAAACACCAUGGCAGUAACACUGAUGAAUUUAACUCUUUGUCUAUAAUACAGACUGAGAAUCAAGCUGUAAAAAACACAAAUGAGAACAACCACAAUGAUCUGUUCAAUGUAGAUGGCAGUGAUGAAGCAAACAACACAGUAAAAACUACCCUUGAGAAUAAUCAUCUCUCCCAGGUAGAAGGUUAUAAUGAAACAGGUGCUAAACCUGUGAUGUUUGCAAUUCAGGCCACCCACAAGAUUGAGCAGGCAAUAAAUAAGGAUUUUGUGCCUGUUACAAAUGACUUUGCUAUACCUGCGCUUGACACAAAUGAUCGAACUGGCACCACUGUAUUUGUUGAGUCAGAUCGUCUGCCCGAAAUACCCCAAUUGCAGGCUAAUGAUGUGACUAAGAAUGCUAUUUCUGAUAUGGAGCACCAUACAGCAAAAACAACCAAAAAGCAACAUGAUCUCUCUGCACCACAAGGCACUGUGGGUGACAACACUCUCCCUGAGCAACACAUUAAUUUCAGAAGUGACCUUAAGGCCCCCAAUAUAUCCACACCACAGAUUGCUGACCGGAUAAUGAAUGUUACCUCUGAUUUUCAGAUAACCACUACAACUGCUAGUACAGGCAGUUUUAUUGUGUCCACAAAAGCUCAUGAAUCAGCACUGACCACUAGUGAGAAUGUGCAAGUUGUUAUUGAAAAGUCAUCUCAGGCUGCAUAUGCUGAGCAUAUGGUACAGUCCAGUAGUCAUAUUGAGCCUUUGUCACUGAGAGAGCCUCCCACAACUCCCACUACUGGCAAACUCCCCCCUGCUGUGAAAAGAAAGAAUGCAACAGAAACAAGUGUAGAGGAGCCCAAGCAUGAAAUUUCUGUACAGCCUAUUGAACAAAGCCAGCACACCCCACCUGGUAUGAUCGCAAUAACAAGUCCUAUCAAUGACCCUGAGCAGGGUGUUCAGACAGGUUUGUUAAAUACUGCCAACCUGGCUGGAGGGUCACGUGACACUACACCUACCAUUAUAGUGGAAUAUUCAUCAUUUAAAGACAUCAAAACAACUCCGACAACAAUUGCUUUUGAAGCCAAAAAUCCUCUACAGGAGAGGACUCCAACAGUGCAUACACUAGACAGAGCAGACAAACAUAAGAAUCAUGCAUUAUCUGAAAAGACCUCAGGUCAGGAGAUACUUGGAGCUGUGACUGAUUCUGUACCGCCUACAGGGAUCUCGCCUCCAGAGAUUAUUAAUAAAACCAGCUGUAGGACAAUUGGCUGUGCUAAGUCAGGCGAGACUACUGAAACAACAAUUGAAGCAGGUGAGAUUGAUCAUACCGCUUCAGAGAAAAUGUAUAAAACACAGGCUGGAAACAUGGGAAAAGAGCUUUUUAAUACAGCACUCACUGCUGGCACAAAACCAGAAAAUGGCAACUGUAGCACUGACUGUCCUCUACCUGGAAAAGCAACACCACAGGCCACAAACCUCGACUAUGCAGUGCUUUCAUUACCCAUAAGUAAAUCUUAUCAUGACUAUGCCACUGUUGAUGAGACUCCAACAACAAAUGCCAAGAGUAUGACCUAUGAAACUUCAACAAAAACAUGGAGAGUACUUGUUGAAACUGAUCAUUUGGAGAGACGUGGGACACUUGAGCAGGAUCAGUUUGUAGAGAAAACAACACAUUCUCUCAGAGAGACCUAUGAAGCUCAGGAGGCUAUUGCAGCAGAGGUCACUUUUUCUGAACCUGAAGCAACUACUGCGCAGACCCCUGAGCGGACACUGCUCACUGAAAAAAACAAAAAAACACAAUUAAAUAGAGAGGCAGCCAAAGCUGAGAUAUUUGAGGUGCAAAAUGCCACCAGGUCAACGCAUGCUAUGUCUAAAGGAGAGACAGCAGUACAAGAGUCUGGGCGCAGGCUGUUACUGCCAGAGCCAGAGUCUGAAUCAGAGCUGCCAACACUGAAACACAGAAGAAGGACCUCACCUCAUCUGUAUCUCUCUGGUGUAACAGAAGUUUCAGAUGACCUGUGUGGCAGUGGGAACUACACUGCAGAGAUGAGUCUGAACCUGGGGAGAGGCAUAGAGCCUGGUGAUGCUGUGCCUGCCAUGGGGAACCUCAGAGUGGUUAUCAACCUGAAGACAAACAACAGUCAGAUAAACCUGGAGGUCACCUCCUGUUGCCUGUCCCCUACCAUCCAGCCUGACCUCACCAACUCCACCUGCUGCCUUUUCUCCAGGUUAGCAGCAGAGCCAGCAGGGAUCACACUGCUGCCCAGUGCCCUGUCAACCAGUGCCAGCUUCACCAUCAGUCUCUUCCAAAUGAUUAAUUACUCAGUAGUGUACCUACACUGUGAUCUCAGUGUCUGCCUGAGGAACCGCUCUGACUGUGAAAGGGGGGGGACAGAUGAGGAGCGAACAGGCUGAUGUAAAUGACCUGGGAAGAUGAGCAAGAAAGGAGACCAAG